rnacentral:RNase_P_RNA from 1 species
GAAGUUCGCCAGGCAGUCGCUGCGCACCCCGCUGUGCGUGGAGGAAAGUCCGGGCCCCAUAGAGCAGGAUGCCGGCUAACGGCCGGGCGCCGCGAGGCGACGGAAAGUGCAACAGAGAGCAGACCGCCGAUGGCUUUCGUGAGAAAGAUCAGGCAAGGGUGAAAGGGUGGGGUAAGAGCCCACCGCGGUCUUGGCAACAAGGCUGGCACGGCAAACCCCAUCUGGGGCAAGGCCAAAUAGGGGAGCGAUGGCGUGGCUCGCGCUGCUCCCGGGUAGGCUGCUGGAGCGCCGCGGCAACGCGGCGCCAAGAGGAAUGACUGCCCGACGGCCACGGUGCGAACCGCGGCCGUUCGACAGAACCCGGCUUAUCGGCGGACUUCCCGA